UUGAAACACUGAUUCCUGUAUGAUCACCAAAGUUAAACAACAUUGAGCCUGCUUAGUACCUAGAUGGGUGACCACUUCAGAGUACCAUGUGCUGUAAG